UACGUAGGAUGCAAGCGUUGUCCGGAUUUAUUGGGUUUAAAGGGUGCGUAGGCGGCCUAUUAAGUUAGUGGUGAAAACGUUCGGCUUAACCGAAUACGCGCCAUUGAUACUGAUAGACUUGAGUGCGACAGAGGGUGUUGGAAUGAGUGGUGUAGCGGUGAAAUGCUUAGAUAUCACGCAGAACACCAAUUGCGAAGGCAGAUGCCUAUGUCGUAACUGACGCUGAGGCACGAAAGCGUGGGGAGCAAACAGG
rnacentral:rRNA from 1 species